GAUCCUGGCUCAGAAUCAACGCUGGCGGCGUGCCUAACACAUGCAGGUCGCACGAGAAAGCGGGCUUCGGCCUGCAAGUACAGUGGCGCACGGGUGAGUAACACGUGAAUCAUCUACCUCCGAGUGGGGAAUAACCUAGGGAAACCUGGGCUAAUACCGCAUAACACUUACGAGUCAAAGCAGCAAUGCGCUUGGAGAGGAGUUCACGGCAGAUUAGCUAGUUGGUGGGGUAAUGGCCCACCAAGGCGAUGAUCUGUAUCCGGCCUGAGAGGGCGCACGGACACACUGGAACUGAAACACGGUCCAGACUCCUACGGGAGGCAGCAGUGGGGAAUUUUGCGCAAUGGGGGAAACCCUGACGCAGCAACGCCGCGUGGAGGAUGAAAUCCCUUGGGAUGUAAACUCCUUUCGAUCAGGACGAUUAUGACGGUACCGGAAGAAGAAGCCCCGGCUAACUUCGUGCCAGCAGCCGCGGUAAUACGAGGGGGGCAAGCGUUGUUCGGAAUUAUUGGGCGUAAAGGGCGCGUAGGCGGUUUGACAAGUCUGAUGUGAAAUCUCUGGGCUCAACCCAGAGUCUGCAUUAGAAACUGUCGGGCUUGAGUAUGGGAGAGGUGAGUGGAAUUUCCGGUGUAGCGGUGAAAUGCGUAGAUAUCGGAAGGAACACCUGUGGCGAAAGCGGCUCACUGGACC
rnacentral:rRNA from 1 species